GCCCGGCUAGCUCAAUCGGAAGAGCAUGGGACUCGUAACCGCAGGGUCGUGGGUUCGAGCCCCACGGCGAGCG
rnacentral:tRNA from 1 species